AGGGUUUGAUCCUGGCUCAGAACGAACGCUGGCGGCGUGGCUAAGACAUGCAAGUCGAACGGACCAUUAAUUCAUUAGUGGUUAGUGGCGAAAGGGUUAGUAACAGGUGGGUAACGUACCUUGUGCUUCGGGAUAGCGUCAGUUACUUCGGUAACUUUCCGAAAGGGGCGAUAAUACCGAAUAAUAUCAUGAGUUGAUAGACUUAUGAUCAAAGAUUUAUCGGCAUAGGAGCGGCCUGCCUCCUAUCAGCUUGUUGGUGAGGUAAUGGCUCACCAAGGCAUCGACGGGUAGCGGGACUGAGAGGUUGACCCGCAACAUCGGGACUGAGACACUGCCCGGACCUCCACGGAGGGCUGCAGUAACGAAUAUUGUGCAAUGGGCGAAAGCCUGACACAGCGACGCCGCGUGUAGGAGGAAGUCCCUCGGGAUGUAAACUACUGUCAGGGGGAAGAAAGUGCGCUUCGGCGCAUUGAUCUAACCCAGAGGAAGUCACGGCUAACUUCGUGCCAGCAGCCGCGCGUAAGACGAAGGUGGCUAGCGUUGUUCGGUAUUACUGGGCUUAAAGCGUGUGUAGGCGGAAAAGUAAGCGUUUUGUGAAAGCCCCCGGCCUAACCGGGGAAUUGCGUGACGAACUACUUUUCUUGAGGCAAGUAGGGGUGCAUGGAACUCUUGGUGGAGCGGUGGAAUGCGUAGAUAUCAAGAGGAACGCCAGUGGAGAAAUCGGUGCACUGGGCUUGUUCUGACGCUGAGACACGAAAGCAUGGGUAGCGAACGGGAUUAGAUACCCCGGUAGUCCAUGCCGUAAACGAUGCCUACUAGGUUGUGGGGAUUCUGACAUUCGCACAGCCGAAGCAAAAGUGCUAAGUAGGCCGCCUGGGGAGUACGGUCGCAAGGCUAAAACUCAAAGGAAUUGACGGGGGCUCACACAAGCGGUGGAGCAUGUGGAUUAAUUCGAAUCAACGCGCAGAACCUUACCUGGGUUUGACAUGCUUGGAUGCCUUUCCUGAAAGGGAGUAGGCUGCCCUUCGGGGUGAAACUUGCACAGGUGCUGCAUGGCUGUCGUCAGCUCGUGUCGUGAGAUGUCGGGUUAAGUCCUUUAACGAGCGAAACCCUUACCAUUAGUUGCCAUCAGGUUAUGCUGGGGACUCUAGUGGGACUGCCGGUGUUAAACCGGAGGAAGGCGGGGACGACGUCAAGUCAUCAUGGCCUUUAUGCCCAGGGCCUCACACGUGCUACAAUGGCGAUCACAGAGCGACGCAAGACCGCGAGGUGGAGCAAAUCGCAAAAAGGUCGCCCCAGUUCGGAUUGCAGGCUGGCAACUCGCCUGCAUGAAGUUGGAAUCGCUAGUAAUCGCGUAUCAGCUAUGACGC
rnacentral:rRNA from 1 species